rnacentral:rRNA from 1 species
GAUGAACGCUAGCGGCAGGCUUAAUACAUGCAAGUCGAGGGGUAGCAAGAUUGUAGCAAUACAAUUGUUGACGACCGGCAAACGGGUGCGGAACACGUACACAACCUUCCUACAAGUGGGGAAUAGCCCAGAGAAAUUUGGAUUAAUACCCCGUAACAUAGCGAUGUGGCAUCACAUUGCUAUUAUAGCUUCGGCGCUUGUUGAUGGGUGGGCGGUUGAUUAGAUAGUUGUCGGGGUAACGGCCAACCAAGUCUACGAUCAGUAGCUGAUGUGAGAGCAUGAUCAGCCACACGGGCACUGAGACACGGGCACGACUGCUACGGGAGGCAGCAGUAAGGAGUAUUGGACAAUGGACGCAAGUCUGAUCCAGCCAUGCCGCGUGAAGGAUUAAGGUCCUCUGGAUUGUAAACUUCUUUUAUAAGGGACGAAAAAAGGUCUUUCUAGAUCGUCUGACGGUACCUUAUGAAUAAGCACCGGCUAACUCCGUGCCAGCCGCCGCCGUAAGAC